rnacentral:rRNA from 1 species
AGUCGACGAUGAAUCUUCUAGCUUGCUAGAAGUGGAUUAGUGGCGCACGGGUGAGUAAUGCAUAGGUUAUGUGCCCUUUAGUCUGGGAUAGCCACUGGAAACGGUGAUUAAUACUGGAUACUCCCUACGGGGGAAAGUUUUUCGCUAAAGGAUCAGCCUAUGUCCUAUCAGCUUGUUGGUGAGGUAAUGGCUCACCAAGGCUAUGACGGGUAUCCGGCCUGAGAGGGUGAUCGGACACACUGGAACUGAGACACGGUCCAGACUCCUACGGGAGGCAGCAGUAGGGAAUAUUGCUCAAUGGGGGAAACCCUGAAGCAGCAACGCCGCGUGGAGGAUGAAGGUUUUAGGAUUGUAAACUCCUUUUGUUAGAGAAGAUUAUGACGGUAUCUAACGAAUAAGCACCGGCUAACUCCGUGCCAGCAGCCGCGGUAAUACGGAGGGUGCAAGCGUUACUCGGAAUCACUGGGCGUAAAGAGUGCGUAGGCGGGGUAAUAAGUCAGAUGUGAAAUCCUGUAGCUUAACUACAGAACUGCAUUUGAAACUGUUACUCUGGAGUGUGGGAGAGGUAGGUGGAAUUCUUGGUGUAGGGGUAAAAUCCGUAGAGAUCAAGAGGAAUACUCAUUGCGAAGGCGACCUGCUGGAACAUUACUGACGCUGAUGCACGAAAGCGUGGGGAGCAAACAGGAUUAGAUACCCUGGUAGUCCACGCCCUAAACGAUGGAUGCUAGUUGUUGCCUUGCUUGUCAGGGCAGUAAUGCAGCUAACGCAUUAAGCAUCCCGCCUGGGGAGUACGGUCGCAAGAUUAAAACUCAAAGGAAUAGACGGGGACCCGCACAAGCGGUGGAGCAUGUGGUUUAAUUCGA